GACGAACGCUGGCGGCGUGCUUAACACAUGCAAGUCGAACGAAGAGCGAUGGAAGCUUGCUUCUAUCAAUCUUAGUGGCGAACGGGUGAGUAACGCGUAAUCAACCUGCCCUUCAGAGGGGGACAACAGUUGGAAACGACUGCUAAUACCGCAUACGAUCUAAUCUCGGCAUCGAGGAUAGAUGAAAGGUGGCCUCUACAUGUAAGCUAUCACUGAAGGAGGGGAUUGCGUCUGAUUAGCUAGUUGGAGGGGUAACGGCCCACCAAGGCGAUGAUCAGUAGCCGGUCUGAGAGGAUGAACGGCCACAUUUGGACUGGGACAAGGCCCAGACUUCUACGGGAGGCAGCAGUGGGGAAUCUUCCGCAAUGGACGAAAGUCUGACGGAGCAACGCCGCGUGAGGGAUGACGGCCUUCGGGUUGUAAAGCUCUGUUAAUCGGGACGAAAGGCCUUCUUGCGAAUAGUGAGAAGGAUUGACGGUACCGGAAUAGAAAGCCACGGCUAACUACGUG
rnacentral:rRNA from 1 species